UACAGAGGUCUCAAGCGUUGUUCGGAAUUACUGGGCGUAAAGAGUGUGUAGGCGGUGCUCUAAGUCUGUUGUGAAAUCUCCCGGCUUAACUGGGAGGGUGCGGCGGAAACUGGAGUGCUAGAGGAUGGGAGAGGUAAGCGGAAUUCCUGGUGUAGCGGUGAAAUGCGUAGAUAUCAGGAGGAACACCUGUGGUGUAGACAGCUUACUGGACCAUUUCUGACGCUGAGACACGAAAGCGUGGGUAGCAAACAGG
rnacentral:rRNA from 1 species